UUUUAAGACAAAUCAAGUUUGAAAGGCGAGCUACCAGCCGACGCAAGACGUGCUUUGGGCGAAGAAAAAACGUGGAAAAAUUUCACAGAAUGGCAAAGGAAAAAAUAUCUAUUAAAUUUCACGUGUAUUGAAUGGUUUCCAGCCGUAGUGAGUUGUUUACAGCAAGCAAACAACACCAUGCGAAAAUUUGCAUACCUGGCAACCAUAGUUAAAAGUGGUCAAUUGUUUAUCUGGCAAGCACAGUUACCAUUGGUGAAGAAUCAUAGUUUUAUGUACAGAGCUGUGGCUGG